rnacentral:lncRNA from 1 species
AAAUACCCUUGAUUCAAUUAAAAUUUACAUGUUCUCUGCGCACUAAGCUAUAAUCGAUGUUCAGCCACUGUUGGUAAACUUUCCUCCUUCCUUCACUUAGGUUAACUUGUAUGCUCUGCUGACUCCUUCGAUUGAUCUUCUUCCUCCGCCACCGACUGUCCCAAACUCCCAAUUUUCACUUCCGUCACUGCCAUUGCUGCUACCGCUAGCUGCAUCUCGAGUUUCUUCACUUCCUCCCACUUCAACCACAGUCAUCGGUGCUACUGCUAGCUGCAUCUCCACCGCUUCCGCCAUCUCCACUUCAGCAACCUCCAAGAUCUUGUAGUGCUAAGGGCAGGUUGGGAAGAAAGGCAAGUUCCAAGGAAAGGCAGAGGAGCAAAGCUGCGAAAAAACAGAGCAAGGAAGGUUCAUCUGAAGAGCUGCCGGAACCGCCGCCGCUCAUAGCCGCCACCACCAUCCCGUCGGAAUCCACCACUGUCAUCCAUGAACCUUCACCGCGAGAGACCACUGUAAGUUAAUCUUCUCCAUUAUAUUUCAGUUUUCAUUCGAACAUAAGCUUUGAAAGAUUUCAGAGCAUGUUUGCUGAUGAACGUGCCAUGUCCGCCGUUAGCAUGUUGUUUCAAAUUUUACGUCGAUUGUUCGUGGCCUUUUCUGUGUGUUGAUUAGACUGUAUUCUUUUGGUUUUGCUGUAAAUUGUGGGGGCUGAAUAUAGAUUUAAUUGAGUAGAAGAUUAGUGAAAUUUGUGAUGCCCCUAACCUGUUCGACGAAAUGCCUGGCUGAAAAUUCUUAUUGAAAGAAGAUUCGUUUGCAUUUUUUCUUUCAUGUUAAAGAACCGGCUAAGUCCGCAGGUUCAUUUCCUCGCACCUGAGAAAUUUUGAUGUAUUGCAGUCUUGCAUUUUUUUGUUGUUGCUUUAUGCCUCCCAUCGUAUGAAUUUGAAUUGAAAUGGCAUGGGAAGGAUCUUGUGAUUUUCAUUUUGAUUGGAAAUGAUCAGACUUGAGCUUUUUGAUGUUCUGUCCACAGAGAGAAAAGACGACCCCAUUCCUAGGAUCAUGAUUUUGGUCCUUCAUUUUACUUUAUUAUUAUUAUUUUUAUUUAUUUAUCCCCCAAAGUUUUAAGAUUUUACAAUUCCCCCAAAGUUUUAAGAUUUUACAAUUUUAUAAUUUUUUGGAUUCUGAUAAUAAAAAUGCUUAAAAUGAAAUGGAGACAGUGCUAAGAGGCUUGAUAUUGCUCCAGAUCUUGUAGUAACUAUGGGAUAGUGGCAUUUAAGGAGACAUCUGUUUAAUUACUUAUUUUUUUGGGGGUGAAAACUGUGUUGACACUUGACAGUACAAGCUACUUAUUAUCAUUCCAUGGUCAUGUAUGUUCUUGUCAUUAUGAGCCUUGCUGUCCUCUUGUUUCUUGAAAAUAAUUACUACUCCUAACUUGUUUACUAGUAAUAGUAAUCUGUUUUGGGACUAAAGAAUGCUGCUCAUGUUCCUUUUUUUCUUUUGGCAUAGUUAAAAAAUAUUGAGAAUAUAAGAUGCAUACGUCCAACCAAGAGCAGUCUUCACCAAUUAAUAGAUCAGUUGGUGAUUCCGCUAGUCCGGUGAAUAUUUUUGACAAGGCUAUUGCUAUUAACAUUGAUGAAGAGCUGGAAUUAUCUCUUGGUGAUGAAGAAUUAGGGAGUGAAGAUGAAGCAUUAGAAGGUAAUACACAUACAACCACUCAAACAGUUGUGGAAGAAGCUGAUGCGGAUGAUGGCUUGGAUGUUUUUCGAAAAAAAAAGAGGAUAAAAAAAUCAGUAGCAUGGGAUGACUUCAAAGAUGUUGAAGUUGGCCAUCAAAAAAUUCUUAUGUCGGAGUGUAUUCAUUGCCAUGCAAAGUUCAAGAAGACGAAAACUAGUACAACUUCAAGUUUGCUGAGGCAUAGGAAGUCAUGUGCUAUCCGAUUGCAAAAACUCAAAAAAGCAACACAACAAACAAAGAUCAAUUUCCCAUCUGCUGAUUCUGCCGAAGCUUCUCAAACCUACCUUCACUCCGGGAGGUUUGAUAUGGCAGUCAUGAGAGAGGCUACUGCUGAAUGGGUGCUUAUGCAUGAGCAUCCAUUUUCAAUUGUGGAGGAAGAAGGCUUCAAUUUGAUGCAAAAAAGAGGGAUGCCGGAAUGGUAAAGAAUCAGUCGGACUAUGAACAAAAACGACUGCACAUCAGUUUAUGAAAGAGAGAAGACAAAAUUGAAGAACCAAUUAAAGAAAGUCAAGAAAAUUAGCUUGACUACAGAUCUUUGGAAGUCCAAGAACCAAAAAAAUGAGUAUAUGGUCAUAACCGGACAUUGGAUUGAUAGCAAUUGGAGAUUGCAGAAACGGGUUCUCAACUUUGUGCACGUCCCUCCUCCACGUCGGGGCAUCCAAAUUGCGGAUGCUAUUUUCAAGUGUUUAACGGAUUGGGGAAUUGAGAGCAAGAUUUAUACAGUCUCAGUCGAUAAUGCCUCGAAUAAUGACAGUGCACUGAGAUGUUUAAAGGACACUUUCUCCCGAAACAAGUGUCUAUUAGCAAAAGGAAAGUUGUUUCAUGUGAGAUGUUGUGCGCAUAUACUGAAUUUAAUGGUUCAAGAUGGACUCAGUCAAAUCAAGGAAAUAGUUGGAACAAUCAGGGACAGUGUGGAGUUUAUCAAUAAGACAGAUGAAAGACGCCUUCAAUUUGCUGAAAUUGUACGCCAGCUGCAGUUGCCAGAAAAAAUACUAAUUUAUGACUGCAAAACAAGGUUGAAUUCUACUUAUGAGAUGCUAACUUGUGCACUGGAGUUUCAAGAUGUUUUUCCCAGGUACAGAGAUAGAGAGCCAAAUUAUGAUUUCUGUCCAACUUUGGAAGAUUGGGAAAAGAUUACAAAAGUGUGCAAUAUUUUAAAAGCUUUUUGGACAGCAACUCAUGUGAUAUCUGGUAGUGAUUAUCCGACUGCAAAUUUAUAUCUAAAUGAAGUUUGUCGGAUUAAAGUACUACUAGAUAGUAAGGUUGAUGUUGAAGAUGAUUUUGUCCGGUCAAUGGUGCAAAAGAUGAAGUUGAAAUUUGAUAAGUACUGGGGAGAGUGUAACUUGUUAAUGUCUAUAGCAGCUGUUUUGGAUCCCAGAUGCAAGAUGAGAGUUAUAAACUAUUGUUUUCCAUUGCUUUAUCCUUCACAUGAAGUGCAAAGCAACAUAGGCAAGGUUCGACAAGCCUUGUAUGACCUAUAUGAUGAAUAUGUGGAGAUACAUGUUUCAGGCCAAAGUGGAUCAUCUUCUCAACUACUAGUCGGCAAUGAUCAUCCAACCAAGAGCAGCAGUAGUGCAUCUUCAUCAGUGUCCCAUGUUUCGGGUAUGAGUGAAUUUCUGACCCACAUUGCUACCGUUGAGAGUGUUCAACCCAUCAAGAAUGAGUUGGAUAUCUACUUUGAAGAUGGUCUCCUCACAGCUGCAGAUGAUUCAACGGUAGAUAUCGUGAAUUUGGAUGCCUUGAAGUGGUGGAAAGACAGAACAAAAUACAAGAUUCUUCCCAAGAUGGCUGCUGACAUUUUAGCCAUUCCAAUAAGCACUGUAGCUUCGGAAGCUACAUUUAGUGCUGGAACCAGAGUAAUCGACUCUUACCGUGCUUCCUUGGCUCCAAAAACUGUAGAAAUGUUGAUGUGUGCUGGAGAUUGGUGUCGUAAGGUACACGGGGUGAAGAAAAGGGAAAAGGUAACAAAAAAAAAUAAAAUUAUUACACAUAAUAUUUAAAUUCGGUCUUACAAUUUCUUAAUUUUUUUAUUUUAUUUUUUUGUUUUUUCAGAAAUUGAAGGAUAAACAAGAGAUUGUGUUGCCUAUUUCUUGACUUUGGAGAUGUUUGAGGUAAUUUACCUUUAAUUUCCUAUUUAGACUUUGGUUUUCUUUGAUUGGAAUUGUCAUAAAGAUGUGCUGAAAAUGAGGGUUUUGGUUGAAGAUGCAAAUGGUUGCUGUUUCCGUUUCUUAUGAGGUCUGCUUCAGUUGGUAUGUUUCAUUCUGUAUGAAAGGUUGUGCAAUGGAUUUAUUGGAAAGAUUUGAUCUUUUUCAGUUUGUUUGGGUGGUCUGUUUUGAGCUUCAAAGAUUGUUUUCAAGCAUGUUUAAGUAAAGCAGUCUUAAGUUCUUUUGUUGUAUGGUUGCUAUGCAAACUUUGUUUUUCUCAGUAUAUGGUUUCAAUCAUAGGAUAAUCUGCUUUUUGUCUUGGAUGUUAUUGAUGUAUUGGAUUGAUUAUGUAGUGAUUUUCUUGAAACUGCCAUUGGCUUGUUUUCUUUAGGCUCUGAAGUUUCGGUUGUACAGCUUUGCUUAUUAGUUAGGCGCUAUUUUAUAACAUCCGAAUACACAUGAUGCUUUUACACUAGUGUGUGGUUAUAUUUGUUGAGUUAUUGUGAUUGAUCCUUCUCAGUAUUUACAGUUUCAAUAGAAAGUCGUGAAAUUUGUUGAGUUGUUUGAAGUUAUCUGAUUUUCUUUUUUCGGGCAGGUUCUUCUGCAAAGAUAAUUAAUUUUUGCCGAAGUUUUUUUUUGCUUUCUCUGUAAAAUGGGUAGAGGGAGACUAAAACAGCUUAACGAAAUUGGGGCUGGACUUUCGUGCCUAUAUAUCUUUUCAAUUGGAUGUAUCAAGCUGUCUACAACAAAUAUUUUGUGUUGUAAAUUUGUGAUAGCUUGUAAUAUUUUGAGCUUUGGCUGAAAAAUUGGACUAAAAGACCUGUAUUUCCUCAUAUAAUUUCAUUUUAAUGAGUAUAUUUCUAUCUUUUGAAGUUCUUGAUGGAUUGAAGGAGCUCUUGCAUGUUGCCUGCAGGUUGGUUCGUAGAUCCAUUGCUGGCAUUAGGGAAGAUUACAAAGGUAACCUACUGAGACUGAAGGGAUGUGUCUUUUCAAAUAUGUGCUGAGAGCCUGAGACAAUGCUAAAUAUAUUCCUGAUCAGUGAAGUUAUCAUAAUUUGUAUUAAU